rnacentral:rRNA from 1 species
CUACGGGAGGCAGCAGUGGGGAAUAUUGGACAAUGGGGGGAACCCUGAUCCAGCCAUGCCGCGUGUGUGAAGAAGGCCUUUNGGUUGUAAAGCACUUUAAGCGGGGAGGAGGCUCUUGAGGAUAAUACCCUUGAUGAGUGGACGUUACCCGCAGAAUAAGCACCGGCUAACUCUGUGCCAGCAGCCGCGGUAAUACAGAGGGUGCGAGCGUUAAUCGGAUUUACUGGGCGUAAAGCGUGCGUGGGCGGCUUUUUAAGUCGGAUGUGAAAUCCCCGAGCUUAACUUGGGAAUUGCAUUCGAUACUGGGAAGCUAGAGUAUGGGAGAGGAUGGUAGAAUUCCAGGUGUAGCGGUGAAAUGCGUAGAGAUCUGGAGGAAUACCGAUGGCGAAGGCAGCCAUCUGGCCUAAUACUGACGCUGAGGUACGAAAGCAUGGGGAGCAAACAGGAUUAGAUACCCUGGUAGUCCAUGCCGUAAACGAUGUCUACUAGCCGUUGGGUCCUUUGAGGACUUAGUGGCGCAGCUAACGCGAUAAGUAGAC